AUCCACUACGGUCAAGUACACCGUAUCUUUUUUGUUAUAGGCCCACAAACAUGUUCUAGGCCCACAUGUUAUAGGCCCGUUCCCAAACACCGAUCACUCUUCAAUUUAACUUUUUGCUCACAAUCUUCAGGCUCAAUCAUAUGACAUGACAGAUCUCAUUGUAAAUGCAAUCGCAAAGGGUUAUCAUUAUCAACUAGUACUAUAAAGAUAGCUGUUACUUCCCGCCAACGCAACUGGGACAGUUAAAACCGUUGAGGGUAACAAAAGACAAAACUCACGACUCCGUUUUUGAGUUUCCUGAAGAUGGAAGUUACGAAUAUGUUCUUGUGGGCCUCUUCAAAGAAACGAUA